rnacentral:rRNA from 1 species
AGUGAACGCUGGCGGCAGGCCUAACACAUGCAAGUCGAACGGCAGCACAAGAGAGCUUGCUCUCUGGGUGGCGAGGGGCGGACGGGUGAGGAAUGCAUCGGAAUCUGCCCAUUUGUGGGGGAUAACCUCGGGAAACCGGGACUAAUACCGCAUACGACCUACGGGUGAAAGCAGGGGAUCUUCGGACCUUGCGCAGAUGGAUGAGCCGAUGCCGGAUUAGCUAGUUGGAGGGGUAAAGGCCCACCAAGGCGACGAUCCGUAGCUGGUCUGAGAGGAUGAUCAGCCACACUGGGACUGAGACACGGCCCAGACUCCUACGGGAGGCAGCAGUGGGGAAUAUUGGACAAUGGGCGCAAGCCUGAUCCAGCCAUGCCGCGUGUGUGAAGAAGGCCUUCGGGUUGUAAAGCACUUUUGUUGGGAAAGAAAAGCAGCCGGUUAAUACCCGGUUGUCAUGACGGUACCCAAAGAAUAAGCACCGGCUAACUUCGUG